rnacentral:rRNA from 1 species
AUGAAACGCUGGCGGCAUGCCUAAGACAUGCAAGUCGAACGAGGUGGCCCAUUGAAGUCUGAGUGCUUGCACAAGAUGGAUUUGGAUUUUCCACCUAGUGGCAAACGGGUGAGUAACACGUGGGUUACCUGCCUCUAAGUUGGGGAUAACAACUGGAAACGGUUGAUAAUACCGAAUGUGCUCUACGGAGUAAAGAAGCCCUUAAAGCUUCGCUUAGAGAUGGGCCUGCGGCGUAUUAGUUAGUUGGUGGGGUAAUGGCCUACCAAGACGGCGAUGCGUAGCCGAACUGAGAGGUUAAUCGGCCACACUGGGACUGAGACACGGCCCAGACUCCUACGGGAGACAGCAGUUAGGAAUAUUCGUCAAUGGGAGAAACCCUGAACGAGCAAUGCCGCGUGAGUGAUGAAGGCCCUAUGGGUUGUAAAACUCUGUUGUUAAGAAAGAAUGGUAGAAUUAGGAAAUGAGUUCUACUUGACGGUACUUUUCAAGAAAGCCACGACUAACUACGUG